rnacentral:rRNA from 1 species
UACGGGGGAUGCAAGCGUUAUCCGGAUUUAUUGGGUUUAAAGGGUGCGUAGGCUGUGAGGUAAGUCAGCGGUGAAAUGCCCCCGCUCAACGGGGUGAAGUGCCAUUGAUACUGCCUUGCUGGAAUGCGGAUGCCGUGGGAGGAAUGUGUGGUGUAGCGGUGAAAUGCAUAGAUAUCACGCAGAACUCCGAUUGCGAAGGCAGCGUACCGGCAUCCAACUGACGCUGAGGCACGAAAGCGUGGGGAUCAAACAGG